rnacentral:rRNA from 1 species
CAGUCGCCACGGUAAUACGAAGGGUGCAAGCGUUAAUCGGAAUUACUGGGCGUAAAGCGCGCGUAGGUGGUUUGGUAAGAUGGAUGUGAAAUCCCCGGGCUCAACCUGGGAACUGCAUCCAUAACUGCCUGACUAGAGUACGGUAGAGGGUGGUGGAAUUUCCUGUGUAGCGGUGAAAUGCGUAGAUAUAGGAAGGAACACCAGUGGCGAAGGCGACCACCUGGACUGAUACUGACACUGAGGUGCGAAAGCGUGGGGAGCAAACAGGAUUAGAUACCCCAGUAGUCCCUGUCUCUUAUAC